rnacentral:rRNA from 1 species
ACGGGAGGCAGCAGUGGGGAAUAUUGGACAAUGGGCGAAAGCCUGAUCCAGCGACGCCGCGUGAGUGAAGAAGUAUUUCGGUAUGUAAAGCUCUAUCAGCAGGGAAGAUAAUGACGGUACCUGACUAAGAAGCCCCGGCUAACUACGUGCCAGCAGCCGCGGUAAUACGUAGGGGGCAAGCGUUAUCCGGAUUUACUGGGUGUAAAGGGAGCGUAGACGGUAUGGCAAGUCUGAUGUGAAAACCCAGGGCUCAACCCUGGGACUGCAUUGGAAACUGUCAAACUAGAGUGCAGGAGAGGUAAGUGGAAUUCCUAGUGUAGCGGUGAAAUGCGUAGAUAUUAGGAGGAACACCAGUGGCGAAGGCGGCUUACUGGACUGUAACUGACACUGAGGCACGAAAGCGUGGGGAGCAAACAGGAUUAGAUACCCUGGUA